CACGUAGUUAGCCGUGGCUUUCUGGUUAGGUACCGUCAAGACUUGUUCAGUUACUAACAAAUUUGUUCUUCCCUAACACCAGAGUUUUACGAUCCUAAGACCUUCAUCACUCACGCGGCGUUGCUCCGUCAGGCUUUCGCCCAUUGCGGAAGAUUCCCUACUGCUGCCUCCCGUAGGAGUCUGGACCGUGUCUCAGUUCCAGUGUGGCCGAUCACCCUCUCAGGUCGGCUACGUAUCGUUGCCUUGGUAAGCCGUUACCUUACCAACUUAGCUAAUACGGCGCGGGUCCAUCUAUAAGUGACAGCCGAAACCGUCUUACAACAUUGAACCAUGCGGUUCAAUAUAUUAUCCGGUUAUUACGCCCCCGGUUUCCCGGAGUUACUCCCGUAGUUCUUAGUAGGUUACGGUUACCCACGUUGUUAACUCGACCCGUUCCGCCG
rnacentral:rRNA from 1 species